AUUGAACGCUGGCGGCAGGCCUAACACAUGCAAGUCGAACGGUAACAGGAAACAGCUUGCUGUUUCGCUGACGAGUGGCGGACGGGUGAGUAAUGUCUGGGAAACUGCCUGAUGGAGGGGGAUAACUACUGGAAACGGUAGCUAAUACCGCAUAACGUCGCAAGACCAAAGAGGGGGACCUUCGGGCCUCUUGCCAUCGGAUGUGCCCAGAUGGGAUUAGCUAGUAGGUGGGGUAACGGCUCACCUAGGCGACGAUCCCUAGCUGGUCUGAGAGGAUGACCAGCCACGCUGGAACUGAGACACGGUCCAGACUCCUACGGGAGGCAGCAGUGGGGAAUAUUGCACAAUGGGCGCAAGCCUGAUGCAGCCAUGCCGCGUGUAUGAAGAAGGCCUUCGGGUUGUAAAGUACUUUCAGCGGUGAUGAAGGGAGUAAAGUUAAUACCUUUGCUCAUUGACGUUACCCGCAGAAGAAGCACCGGCUAACUCCGUG
rnacentral:rRNA from 1 species